GGUGAAGUCAAGAAGCUCGGUUGGGUUGUCUCAUGAUGACUCACAGCAGGACAAUGACGAGAGCCGCCCUGUUAGCUCCGUGUUGGAUUUAAAACAGUGCUGUUCAACUCUUGGACUCAAGCCAUCUUGCCAGGUUAGACACAGAUGUCACUAUCACGUCUGGCUCAGUGUUCAUUCUCAAUCUGGUUCACAAUCGUACACGAAGCAGAGCUAAGCAUCUAACUUCUAGAGUAAAGCGGAAGGGCCGGCACUUCAUUCCUAUGUCGCCUACAGCCUGACUCAAGUGUAAUUCAGUAACUAUUAAUUGACUAUGUUAACACACAGUUUAAGAAAGCCACAGAUUGUUGAGGAUUUUGAAUGAGUUGAUCUUAGAUGAAGCUGAAGACUUCAGGUACCCCCUCAGGCUAUUUGGCCAACGGUAGCUCGAGCAGCAUUGUUUGGCUGCUCUGCACGGUCCCUGGGCAUAGCACUGACAUUUUCAGGGGUAUGGGGGAAUUAAGAUCCUCAGAAUCAGACCGGUCCUACUGAAUCAGAACUGCUGUCUGCAAGAUCUUGGAAAAUCCUUUACCAAUUAAAGUUUACGAUUCCCUGCCAACGCUUUCCAUCCAAGGAUCUCGAGCCAGCUUGGCACAUAAGAGGACAUCACCAGAAGGGCCCUAACAGUAGCUGUCUUCAAGCCUCAGGAAGAGGAAUCUCAGCUCACUUCACCACGUUUAACUUCUAGACCUGCAGUUCCUAGAGUGUGGUCCCUGAGCUGGAAGCCUGGGAAGAAAAGGUUACUUCUGACAUCCUGAACCCCAAACUCCAAGCCCAACCACCUCCCUUGGAAACCUGCUUGGCACCCUCCCUAUCAAACAAUGUGCCUAUCUCUCAGAAGAUCUUGGAAAUUCUGAAGUACAGACUGUAGUUCAGAAACCUCUGGGAGUGACACACAGGCUCAAUAUACCUCAAAGUUCUAGGUAUGUCCAACCUUUGGAUUUUGUGAUUGGAUAUCAUCAACGACAGAGUUCGCACUCAAGUUCCAAAUUCAUCUCCUAAUUCUUGUAAAAUUUGAAAAUAAGUUCACGAUUUUGUGAUGGGCCAUAUUCAUAACUAUUCUGGGCACAGCCAUCACUGGUGAAAUAGGAUCUCUCUUCAGUCCAUUCUAUCGGCAGUCAUGGGUAGAAGCUAGUGAUCUAUUCCAUGGCCAAACCUACAUGACAGCUAAGUAAUAGUUUUACACACACACACACACACACACGAGUCACUGUGCUGCAGGCG
ensembl:lncRNA